GCCUGGCUGGCUCAGUUGGAAGAGCAUGAGACUCUUGAUCUCGGGGGUCGUGAGUUCAAGCCCCACAUUGGGUG
rnacentral:tRNA from 1 species